rnacentral:rRNA from 1 species
GAUGAACGCUGGCGGCGUGCCUAAUACAUGCAAGUCGAGCGAACAGACGAGGAGCUUGCUCCUCUGACGUUAGCGGCGGACGGGUGAGUAACACGUGGAUAACCUACCUAUAAGACUGGGAUAACUUCGGGAAACCGGAGCUAAUACCGGAUAAUAUAUUGAACCGCAUGGUUCAAUAGUGAAAGACGGUUUUGCUGUCACUUAUAAAUGGAUCCGCGCCGCAUUAGCUAGUUGGUAAGGUAACGGCUUACCAAGGCAACGAUGCGUAGCCGACCUGAGAGGGGGAUCGGCCACACUGGAACUGAGACACGGUCCAGACUCCUACGGGAGGCAGCAGUAGGGAAUCUUCCGCAAUGGGCGAAAGCCUGACGGAGCAACGCCGCGUGAGUGAUGAAGGUCUUCGGAUCGUAAAACUCUGUUAUUAGGGAAGAACAAAUGUGUAAGUAACUAUGCACGUCUUGACGGUACCUAAUCAGAAAGCCACGGCUAGCUACGUG